rnacentral:misc_RNA from 1 species
AGUGGAAUGAAUUACUUGAGAAAGUGAGGAGGUGCCUUCAAAGUUACUUAGAGUAUCAGCAGCGUCCCUAGACUUGAAAAUGCCGGUUGUCAAGAAGGGUUCCAAGAGAGGCGCCCGGAAGAAGAUUCUUAGCGGUGUCGAGCUCGAGCGGAUGCGUGCGGAGGAGUCGGAAAGACGGUGCCGGCAGCUGAUGUUGUUGCAAAGUCGCCUGCGCGAGGUUGUCGCGGAAGAGAGGGAGAUGUCCAAUGCCGUCUCUGGCGCCAUUGAUGCCCGGUGGAUGCGCUUUCUGCGUGAAUGCAAACAGCGGGAGCUUGUGGCCGAAAUCGAAGUACUGCGGCGAACGUUUGAGGCGACGCUCGACAGAAAGGAGGGCUUUUCCACGACGCUUCUAGAGGAGCUGAGUGUGGCGGAGGAGCAGUGCAGACACGCUUUUCGUUCUCACAUGGACGUUGUCAGCUCUCUGCUUCAGCUGCACGCGGAGCGCACGAAGGACCUGGAGGCAGAUCUCGAUGCCAACGUCGCGGAGAUGCAGCAAGACUUCGAGUAUGAGAGGGCCGAGCUGGAACUGAAGCACAUGAUUGAGAUGGACGACCUGCGGCUGAUUCUGGACAACAUGGCGGCCGAGGCGGAGAUGUUGGAGAAGAGGCUGCAGGAGGAAACGUCUGAGGGUCACGAAACGGCUGCCGAGAAGAUGGACGAGGCAAUGAGGGAGAUGGAAGCAGACCUUAACAAGGUUGAGGAUGGUCUCCGUGGCGAGCUGGACUCACGCUACAAGAAGUUCAUGUCCACCGCGCAGGCAAACAUGAAGGAGUACACAGCGAAGUGUAAGGAGGACCAGGAGACGACGGAGCGCAUUGCUGCCCAGUUGCGCAAGAUCGAAAAACUGCAAAACAGCGUCUCCUCGUGGCGCACCAACAUUGCUCGUAACGCGAAAGAGUGGGAGGGUCGCAACGCAGCUAUCGAGGCCGAACGAGACGCAACACUGAGCCACCUGAAGAAACUGAAGGAUAAGAUGCAACGGUGGAGGGAGAUGCAAUCUAAAGCACUCGUCGAACUUGUGAAGGAGGCGAACGCGACGGAGGAGGCGCUGCAGGCGACUUCGAAGCGAGCCGUGCGUCUUCUGCGGCUAGUGGAACUGUGCAAGCCGAUGGAGACGGAGCGGGAGCAGGUGCUCUUGCACGAGGCGAACAUUUCAUCUGCAGCAGUGGAAGCGGAAACAAAGCGGCGUGUUGCCGCUGAGGGCUCUGUGAACGCACAGGAUGAUGUCCUGUCAGGCGUCGACGCUGCACCGGCUGCGAAUGAGCAGUGGCUGUCGCUGGACCGCUUCUGGGUGAAGCACAACAAGGUGGUGCUGGAUAAUGCGGCGUUGACGCAGGAGCGCUUUCUUUUGCAAGAGGAGAAUCGAGUAUUGCAGGAGGUUCUCAAGCAGUACUUAGAUGACGUUUCCGUUAGCGAUCAGGUGAUGCGUCAGAGCAACACCCUUCUUCUCACACAGGCAGCCAACCGCAACGUUGUCCAGGCCGCCAACGCGGGCGACAGUAGCGUCGUAAGAGGCUACAACGUCAUCGAAGGAAACAAAUUCGUAAACGACCAGAGUCGUCAAGUCGUCAAUCAUUAGUCACUAGUGAGAGUCUCCCGCUAGUUGGAAAGGAGAUGGUGAAGGAAAACGAGACAGAGUUUCCUCGUCGGGGUGCUGUUAUCGGAUCUGUCUACAUGGAACUCCGUCUGCUCGUGUUCCCCCUUGCACUUAUUUUUUUGUGUGUGUGUGAGGAGGGAGCUUUGCGUGUGAAGCCCUGACGGCCCGUGUGGGCGAUGUAAAGAGGGCCACGCUGACGCUGUGCGUGCGAUAUCUGGUACCACGCUGCUUUGUUCUUUGCUUUGGAUGUAUAGCUCCAUUGUCAGCUCUAGUUUCUUC